ACUUGGCUGGCUCAGUCAGUAGAGCGUGCGACUCUUGAUCUCAGGGUCGUGAGUUCAAGUCCCAUGUUGGGUG
rnacentral:tRNA from 1 species